UUUGGGCUCAAGGAAGCGAGACUGAUGAAGUGCUCAUUGAGUUAUUAUUCAGGCCAGCAGUUCUUAGCUACAUGUGGAACUGAUUUGGGAGUGGUUCUACCCCCCCCCCCCCCCGCUGCAUGUUUUUCUUCUGUUUGGAGACUGUCUGGCAUCAUGCUGCCUCAUAUGUGAACAAAGAAGGGAAGCCAAGUCUGAUUGUCUUAUUGUUGGCUCCUUACUUACUUACCCUCAGUGCUCUCUACCUCUUAAGAAGCUCUGGAUCUCAGGCCUGUGAACAGUUUGAAUUCCACUGGAGUGAAUUUCAGACAACUAUACACUGGAUGCAUCAGCCAACACAGCAGCUAAUGUGAAUGUGAAACCAGACCACAACAUGGACAUCAAAACCACACGCUCUCCAAACACUGACUUACAGUCUACCCAUAGCAAGGCUACCCCAGAGGAGAAAUGUGUGGAAAACAGCAGGGGUGUACAUAACAGGUGAGGUCUUGUAUGCCCCUAGUGACAAACCAUAUCUGCCCCACAUUUUUUCCCCCUCAUUAUGCUAAAUUGACACAUAAGAAGUGUCAUGGUCCUGGGUCUUUGACCCCAGGUUUUUGUUUGGACUUUUUCAUUAUUUGGAAUUAUGAGAUGAUUAUGUUUAGUUGUUGUGAGACUCUGUUUUAGUUAAUUAUAUUUCUAGUUUUUGGUUCUUGUUUGUUUUCAUGGCUGUUUUCUUUUUCGUGUCCCAUCUGUCUACGUCUCGUUUGUGUUCAGUCUUCAGCAUCUCCUGAUAUUGUUUGUCUGAUCUCUGUGUCUUUUUGUCUCCAUGUCUGUUCAUUCCAUUGUCCCAGUGUCAGGUUUACG
ensembl:lncRNA